rnacentral:lncRNA from 1 species
UACCAGACUGGAUGGAGUUUCACUCUUAUUGCCCAGGCUGGAGUGCAAUGGCGCGAUCUCGGCUCACUGCAACCUCUGCCUCCCGAGUUCAAGUGAUUCUUCUACCUCAGCCUCCCGAGUAGCUGCGAUUACAGAUACAUAGCGCUGGCCAAGAAGUGUGGUUUUGAAGAGCCCAAACUGUAUCUGUUACCUGAUUUCAAAGAAUAUUCCACCUAGGAGAGACCCAAGUCCUGCAGACUUCCUCUGGACACUUUCGGCAGUCAUUGUUCCCUGCUGAUUCUGCAAGAGAUGAGGAACGGAGGAUAGAAUCAUGAAUAACAACAUAUUAGUUGCUGAUUGGGUAUUGAUUCUAAGGAUACCCCCGAUAAACAUCUUUCGUGCUAAAGCCCAUUCUAGAAUUUACUUCCCAGCUAUCUUUGAUGUUCAUAUUGUCAGAGGUGGUGGCCGCUGAAAUAGGCAAAGAUAUGGAGCAUAUCUUGGGUCCAGGACCUUGGGAGUCCAGAGGAAGGUCUUUUUACCAUCAGCAUUCUCUCCUGUGUUCAAGGACUGUCAGCCAAAGAUGACCAGGUUCUCUACUGUAAUGGUGAAUUUUAUGUGUCAAUUUGACUGGACCAUGGGAUGCCCAGCUUUCCUUCAGAAAGAAAUGCAUUCAAAGAACCUACAUUCACAACGUAAAGAAAUAAAGCCUGCACCUACAGAUCUACACACAUGCCCACGCACAUGCAGGAAAUGUUCAUCUAAGACCGGACCUUUUAGAAGAAAGCUGGCAUGCAUUCAUGAAGGCAUGGGCUUCCAGGCAUGUCAUCUUCUACACACAAGACCGCCAAGCAUUAAGAUUCUCCUGUGGAGCUAGGCUACAAUCCUUUAAAUGAAGACAGACAGAGAGCUAGGUGGCUGCAGCCCAGUGCUACACCUCACCCCUCCCUCAGUGUCAUGCAGACAAAAUGUAUUCAGAAGUCAGAAGUGAAGUUGUGCAAAUCCAUCAUUGACGCUAGCUUCAAGGUUACCUCGGGGGAGCCAAAUGUACCCCUGCCAGAGAGCUGGAUGGAUGAUGAUGGGGACAGAAAUUCUGGGGGAGUUGUAAAUGGCAGCCACUGCCUCUAUAGGAAACCCAAAGGGAAAACAGCAGAGGAGGAGGUGGUGGAGGAGCCACUGCCCUCUUGAAGGGUUCAAUGUCAUUCUGCGGACACAGCCAAAUAACUUUUUCUUCCCUGCUGCUCCUCCAUUUG